AACAUGACUGGGCCUGGUCUUACAUUAUUUCCCUCCUCAAUGAUUGUGCAAUGGUAUUUCACCCUCAAUGAGAACUGUCCAGUCGUCACCUUCACUCACGUUUGCAGACAAAAAUCUAUGGAUGAAGGAGAAUAAGAGAAGAUGACAGCAGACCAAUAUGGGAGAGACUCCUAGCAGUAGGCCCAACAGGUUAGCCAUCAUUAGGAGGACUGUCUUGUUGAAAAAGCUCAGAGAGCUCUCUCCUCCUUUUACUGGUGAAGAUUCUCCAUUAUGCAUUGUAUCAUCUGCAAUCUCUGUCAAUCUCUCCCUUUAGGAAUGCCCCGUGACUUGAUCUCAUUCAUGCAUAAUGUCACUUACUUUUGCUAAUUCUAUCGUGUCUCCUUUUUUGAAGGUCAUGAUAUCUGGUCUUCUCUUUAGCUUUAUGAAGGGGAAUAUACAAAGCCUUUUCGCUCUGCAUUAUCAGUUUCAUGUCUAGAUUAUAAUAGCAUAUUAAGCGGCAAGCACGGCCCCCCUCCAGUACGUACUCAAAUAUUCGAAAUGCAUGUCCCUUCCUGCUUAAAGAAUGCAUUUUUGCCCCCGCAAAGGGACAGUGUGAGAAGAAAAAGUGGAUUGAAAGGAUCUAAUUGGGAUUGACCCACCAAAAAGGAAGACCUAAAGUAAUGGCAGAGAAGGGAUUCCACACUAUUCUUGGCAUCACGGUCUUCCUAAAAUAAUGUGGUCAUCAUCCUUUGAUGGCCCGUUGUCCCCCUUAAUAUACUUUAGAGGUUGCCAUUCUAAAUUGAUGCUAAAGAUGAUUAAAGAA